rnacentral:rRNA from 1 species
GGACUACCGGGGUAUCUAAUCCGUUUUGCUCCCCACGCUUUCAUGCCUCAAUGUCAGGAACAGAAUAGUCAACUGCCUUCGCCUUUUUGGUGGUCCUCCAUAGAUCAAUGGAUUUCACCCCUACACAUGGAGUUCCGUCAACCUCUUCUGUCCUCAAGCAGAAUAGUAUUACCAGCUUCCGUCGAGUUGAGCUCGGCUUCUACCAAUAACUUACCCUACCAUCUACGCAUCCUUUACGCCCAAUAAAUCCGGAUAACGUUUGCCACCUAUGUCUUACCGCGGCUGCUGGCAC